AAGCGGUGCCGGUGGUCGAAAAAGGUUUAUUGCAGGAAGUCAGCAGAAGCCAUAGUAGGCAUAAGCCGAAGGGC
rfam:Erysipelotrichaceae bacterium NYT-BL-F16 NODE_5_length_46176_cov_114.173_ID_9, whole genome shotgun sequence.